rnacentral:lncRNA from 1 species
AUUCCCCCAAUUACACCAAACCCUAACUCACUUCUCUCUCUUUAAACACACACACGACAUCCUCUUCUUCCCAUCCUCUCUCUCUCCCCUCCUCGUCCCAUUUGGUCGCCGUCGUUUGACACUACAAUGGAGAUCGUUGCUGUAAGCAGGGAGCUCCGAUCGCCUCUUCUCCCUUUUCUUCCCUUCUUCUUAGAAUCCUCUUCUCCUUCUCUCUCUCUAUCCUCUCCUUCACAAUGGCCGCCAUCGCCGAAUACUACAGCAGAGCUCGUCGUUGUGAGCAGCCGUCGCUUCGCGCAAUUCCAGUGUCGAUGCAUCUUUGCCCAAUGCGUGGUUUGUAGGUACACACAUAUCACAGCGAUCCAUGGUUUUGCCUCUGUGCUCGAUAAGUGUUUUCGCAAAGUUGAAGCCAGUGGGUCAACCCUAAUGUAGGGCAGGCAAUAGUUCUGUGGUGGUGGAUCUUGUGGUUGCAAGUGGCGGUGGUCGUGGUGGAGUUGGUGGUGGUAUGUCACCGACUAUUUGAGCUGUUACCAAUCGUUGGUGCAGUGAUGAUUUUCAUGUGGUGAUGGUGGUGUUGGUGAUUAUUGUGAUGGUGUUGUGGCGGGGUGUAUAGUGUUUGUGAGCAAGUAUUGUGGUGGAAUGAGAUCUAGAUUAGGUGUGGUGCAAGUGUUGAUUGGGUGGUGGUGAUUUGUGGUCAAGAUUGGUGCUGGAUCGGGACCUGUGUAGUGGGGUGUUUGGAAUCUAUGAUCAACUAUUUGAAAUCUGCGACCAACUAUUUCACUGAUUUGUGACAAAAAAUUAGGUGUUUAUGACUAAAAAAUAAAUUGUGACAUAUGUAACCCAUACAUAAAAUGUGAUCUGUAAUUUGAAUGAUUCGUGACCUAAAAAUAAUUUCGUGACGUACAAAGUUUUUGAUUUGUGACAUCGAAAUAAUAUGUGAC